CCUACGGGAGGCAGCAGUGAGGAAUAUUGGUCAAUGGGCGCGAGCCUGAACCAGCCAAGUAGCGUGAAGGAUGACUGCCCUACGGGUUGUAAACUUCUUUUAUAAAGGAAUAAAGUGAGGCACGUGUGCCUUUUUGUAUGUACUUUAUGAAUAAGGAUCGGCUAACUCCGUGCCAGCAGCCGCGGUAAUACGGAGGAUGCGAGCGUUAUCCGGAUUUAUUGGGUUUAAAGGGUGCGUAGGCGGUCCGUUAAGUCAGCGGUAAAAUUGCGGGGCUCAACCCCGUCGAGCCGUUGAAACUGGCAGACUUGAGUUGGCGAGAAGUACGCGGAAUGCGCGGUGUAGCGGUGAAAUGCAUAGAUAUCACGCAGAACUCCGAUUGCGAAGGCAGCAUACCGGCGCUCAACUGACGCUCAUGCACGAAAGUGUGGGUAUCGAACAGGAUUAGAUACCCCAGUAGUC
rnacentral:rRNA from 1 species